rnacentral:rRNA from 1 species
UCUCUUUUCACGCCGACCUCAGAGCAGGUG